rnacentral:lncRNA from 1 species
GAAGAAUGAGUUAGUACCCUCAAUUGCUAGAGGAGCUGAAUUGAGACGUUGUUUGAAUUUCGCGGACGAAAUUCAUUUUAGGGGUGGAGAAUGUAACAUAUCAGAUUUUGGUAUAAAAAUAAAAAUAAAUAAAAAUAGUGUGAGAAACUAUUUUUAUUGGAUUUGUAGGAGUAAAACAUAAGUCAGAAGUGACUUGUGCUGAAAUCGGAAUGAAAACAGAAGAUCUAGAAUUUUCUGUUGGAAACGGGACAGAUAAAUUGGCAGAAAAUUCACAGUUACAGAAAAUUAUGAAAAUUGGAGGAUAAGUCAAAAAUAUUUUUAUGAGGCUAGAUUUAAAGUUUCACAUUUUUCUGACACCCGUAGAGUGAGAAAUAAAAUCCGACAGCUAUCUGAUAAAGAUUACAGUUCGGUACAGUUUUCGAUGACCAAACGGGGUCGAAACUAAAAACUUAAAAUAUAUUCUUACUCAGUACAUUAAACUGAGCCUGCCUGUCAAAUUUGAGCUCAAACGGAGAUUCAGAAGGGCUCCAACUAUUCCGAACUG